GCGUCCGACGACCGGCUUGUCCCCGGGAAGCCGCUCUCCCCUGGCUCCACCAUCGUCUCCGACGGCGGUGCCUUCGCCUUGGGCUUCUUCGCCCCCUCCAACUCCACUCCCACCAAGCUGUACCUGGGCAUCUGGUACAAUGACAUCCCUGAGCUCACCGUCGUGUGGGUCGCCAACCGAGAAACCCCGGCCACCAACACCACUUCGUCUGCAUCACCGACACUCUCCUUCACCAACACCUCCAAUCUCGUUCUCUCCAGACGAGAUGGUGGUGAACGUGUUCUUUGGGCAACAACCAACGUGGGUGCUGCACCAGCGUCAUCUCCCCCGACGACGGCAGUGCUUCUGAACACCGGCAAUCUCGUCAUCCGCUCGCCAAACGGCACCAUGCUGUGGCAAAGCUUUGAACACCCGGCCGACACGUUCCUCCCCGGCAUGAAGAUCCGGCCGGUACAGGUACGGGCGCGUAUGGACAACGAGCGCAUGGUGGCCUGGAAGGGCUCUAGCGACCCCUCACCAGGGUGCUUCUCCUUUGGGGUCGAUUGGAACACGCUCCUCCAGACGUUCCUCUCGGACGGGUCACGCCCGGUGUUACGUAGCGCCACAUGGAUGGGAGACCUAGUGAUGAGCCAACGCAUGAACAACAACUCCAUUAUCGUCUACACCGCCUUCGUUGACAACGAGGAAGAGAUAUAUAUGACGUACACCCUCUCCGAAGGUGCCGCCCACACAAGGUACGUGGUGACGUACUCAGGCGAGUACCAGCUCCAAAGCUGGAGUAGCUGGACAUCGACAUGGGAUGUCCUCUGGAAGUGGCCGUCCGCCGAAUGCACCCGCUACGGUUACUGCGGCCCAUACGGCUACUGCGACGAGACGGUGUUGCCAGCCCCAUCAUGUAAAUGCCUUGACGGUUUUGAGCCAGCAAACAUUGAGGAGUGGGCAAAUGGUAGGUUCUCGACCGGCUGCCGACGGAAGGAGCCGUUGCACGGUUGCGGCGAUGGUUUCUUGGCCUUGCCAGGGACGAAGUCACCAGACAGGUUCACUCGCGUAGGCGGUGGCGGGAGUACAUUCGAGGAGUGUGCCGAGUGCAACCGCAACUGCUCAUGCGUUGGGUACGCAUAUGCGAAAUUGAGCAGCGGCAGGUCCGGCGGAGAUGUGGCAAGGUGCUUGGUGUGGGCUGGGGAGUUGGUUGACACCAGAAAGUCUAGCGCAGAGCUCGGCGGAGAAACACUCUAUAUUCGGCUUGCAGGCAUGGAUGCAUCUACUGGUACAAAACUCGAGAGCAAUGCAGUGAGGAUUGUGCUACCAGUUUUUGGCAGCAGUGUUCUCGUGCUCAUAUGCAUCUCCCUGGCAUGGUUCAAAUUCAAAGGCAAGAAAUUUAAAAGGAGAAAGAACAAGAAUAUUAGGGUGGAUAAUGCGAGUACCUCUAAUGAGCUUGGGGAAGAAAAUCAGUCCCAUGAUCACGAAUUCCCGUUUGUAAGAUUUGAAGAAGUUGCCCUCGCAACUCACAAUUUCUCUGAAACAUACAUGAUUGGACAGGGAGGUUUCGGCAAAGUUUACAAGGGGAUGUUAGGUGGUCAAGAAGUCGCAGUCAAGAGGCUAAGCAAAGAUUCUCAAGAAGGAACAAAGGAAUUCAGGAACGAAGUAAUUCUAAUUGCCAAAUUGCAACACAAAAACUUGGUUCGACUUCUGGGAUGUUGUGGUGAGGGAGAUGAAAAACUCCUGAUAUAUGAGUAUCUACCUAAUAAGAGCUUAGAUGCCACCCUUUUUGAUGACUCGAGAAAAUUGUUGUUGAAUUGGGGAACACGGUUUAGCAUAAUCAAAGGGGUCGCAAGGGGACUUCUUUAUCUUCAUGAAGACUCAAGGUUGACCAUAAUUCACAGGGAUCUUAAAGCUGCAAAUGUUUUGCUAGAUGUAGAUAUGAAACCCAAGAUAGCUGAUUUUGGUAUGGCAAGAAUCUUUGGUGAUAACCAACAAAACGCAAAUACCCAACGCGUUCUCGGAACAUAUGGCUACAUGGCCCCUGAGUAUGCGAUGGAGGGCAUCUUCUCUACCAAGUCCGACGUCUACAGCUUCGGCGUGUUACUACUAGAGGUCGUCACUGGUAUUAGGAGAAACUCUAACAGUCAGACAUCAAGUUUUCCUAACCUUGCAGUUUAUUCAUGGAAUAUGUGGAAGGAAGGGAAGACGGAGGAAUUGGCAGACUCAUCUCUCAUGGAUACAUAUUCACCAGACAAAGUUUUGCUCUGCAUCCAUGUGGCACUCCUGUGUGUGCAAGAAAAUCCAGAUGAUAGGCCCCUGAUGUCAACUGUUGUGUUCGUCUUGGAGAAUGGAAGCACCACGCUUCCAGCCCCCAACCGCCCCGCCUACUUUGCCCGGCGGGGCAUAGAAAUGGAGCAAAUUAUGGUUGACAUUCAGAGCUCUGUGAACGAUUGUACUCUUUCGGAGAUACAAGGGAGGUGA
rnacentral:rRNA from 1 species